CAGUCUUUGGAGGGGUUUUAGCAACUCUCUGGUGUGUGACCCUCCGCUCCUGGGCUGCACUCUUGGUAUGAGCUUCCGCACCAGCCCUGUGGCCAGUCUGCUGAGUAACCAUCAGUGAUCACUUUGUUCUGUGAGGCCCAGUCUCACCCAUCUCCCAUUGUGCAUCUGGAAACAGAAAAAGUGAUUUUUUUGGGGGGCAGGAAGUGCAGACAAGUUUUCACACUGAAAGUAUAAAAGGAAUGGGGCCAGAGAGUCAGCGAUGUGUGCGUUCCUCAGGCCAGUGCGACAACCGGAGGGGUCGCCAUACUGGAUACGCAGCAGCCCAUGUUUGUCUUCACCUGAGAGGAGUGAAGCACUGCAAAGAUGGGACAUGAGGUGACAGCCAGGACCGCGGGGGCAGGACAUACCACUGCUGUCCCUGGACAGGACAGCUGCUCUCACUGCCGCACCCCGCAGGAUAUGCCGUGGGCCUUGGCCUGGCAGCGGGGCCCCUGGAGGGACUCUAAAUAUUUGGGAAGUCAGUGGACAAAGGCUGCAGUUCAAAAGUGGGCACCGGCCCGUGAAAUCACAGAAGCAUUCUAAUUCCUGCACAGUGAUGGAGAAAAGAGGACACAGGAGACAGUCAGCAAC
rnacentral:lncRNA from 1 species